rnacentral:rRNA from 1 species
UACGUAGGGUGCGAGCGUUGUCCGGAAUUAUUGGGCGUAAAGGGCUCGUAGGCGGUUUGUCGCGUCGGGAGUGAAAACCAGGUGCUUAACACCUGGCUUGCUUUCGAUACGGGCAGACUAGAGGUCUUCAGGGGAGAACGGAAUUCCUGGUGUAGCGGUGAAAUGCGCAGAUAUCAGGAGGAACACCGGUGGCGAAGGCGGUUCUCUGGGAAUGACCUGACGCUGAGGAGCGAAAGCUAGGGGAGCAAACGGG